rnacentral:lncRNA from 1 species
AGCAUUGAGAGUAAAUUUUUAUUCAAUUGGUCAAUAAAAAAUGUGUGUAAAAACUUUCGUAAGGUACAAUAAUGUAGCUCAAUCUAGUCUGAAGAAAAUUGAGACUGAAAACCACAGUAAAAAAGAAAGGACUUUCUUUCACCAGUUUCCUAUUUGGCGUGGUAUAAAAAAUGUGUGUAAAAGCUUUCAUAAGGUACAAUAAUGUAGCUCAAUCUAGUCUGAAGAAAAUUGAGACUGUGAAAACCACAGUAAAAAGAAAGGACUUUCACCAGUUUCCUAUUUGGCGUGGUAUAUGUAUGAGAGGUCACCUCACCUAAAACUCUAAAACCAGAAUAUGACUACUUUCAAGUUUCAAGGGAUAAAAGUUCACAUUUUGAAUUUUGCCAAAGUAUAACUCGUAUAAAAUGACCAAAGGAACA